CCGGUUUAGCCCGUCUUCCAAGGACCAGUACCGACGAUCCACAAACCCCCCAGGGAAGCCAAGGAGCCCAUCAAAGCGCAUCUGCAUCUGCGGGGACAGAGCGGAGGGAGGCGUGUUGUCUAGAUGAUUGACUCAUUCUCAGGCCAAUCGUCGUGGAAGAUUCUGGAGGUUCCCAGAGACCUGAGAGCCAGAAGCAGCCUACAUGUUGCAGCAGAAAGUGAUCAAUCAAAAUCUCCUGACAUGCUAACAAUUCCUGAAUCCCCUGUGCUUGUAACGACUAAAGGAACCAAAUCAGGUGUUUCAUUCCGGUUCCUACCACACUAACUCUGGUUUUGUACUCAAAGUAUCACAAAGCUCAUCAACUCUUAUGCAAAAAUUCUAACGCCUUAAGGGCUGUUCCCACGGGACUACUGUCCGAAAAAUAUUCACACAAGCACCUACAAGUGGGAACUGUUUAUUCGUGAUCUAAGAAUGACUGGGUUAGGUGCUGCCUUCUUGUGGUUCUCAGGAUUAAAUAUCCUAAUCCUGCCGUAAAUCAAUCUGAUAUAAGCUAAUAAGCCUUCCUUCUUUCUCAGCAAGGUAGACUUUGGCUUGGAAGUGUUUCCUCACUUUUUUUUCUUUUUUAAAAAUUAAAAACUUAAAUAGAAAAUAGAAAAAAAUGGCCAUGGGUACAGCAGAACACGAGAGGAUUCAAAAUAGUUAAAGAAAUUUCCAUUUUAAGAAAUCCUAUAUAAUAAAUACUACAUGUUGUGUUCAA